GCAUAUCAAUAAGCGGAGGAAAAGAAACCAACAGGGAUUGCCCUAGUAACGGCGAGUGAAGCGGCAACAGCUCAAAUUUGAAAUCUGGCGCAAGCCCGAGUUGUAAUUUGUAGAGGAUGCUUCUGGCCAGCGGCCGUUCUAAGUUCCUUGGAACAGGACGUCAUAGAGGGUGAGAAUCCCGUAUGUGACCGGCGCGCAGCCUUUACGUAGCUCCUUCGACGAGUCGAGUUGUUUGGGAAUGCAGCUCUAAAUGGGAGGUAAAUUUCUUCUAAAGCUAAAUACCGGCCAGAGACCGAUAGCGCACAAGUAGAGUGAUCGAAAGAUGAAAAGCACUUUGGAAAGAGAGUUAAAAAGCACGUGAAAUUGUUGAAAGGGAAGCGCUUGCAACCAGACUUCGUAGCGGUGUUUCCGCCGGUCUCUCUGACCGGUCUACUCAUCGUCGCGAGGCCAACAUCGUCUGGGGCCGCCGGAUAAGACCUAAGGAAUGUAGCUCUCUUCGGGGAGUGUUAUAGCCUGUGGUGAUGCGGCGCGUCUCGGGCGAGGUCCGCGCUUCGGCAAGGAUGUUGGCGUAAUGGUUGUCAGCGGCCCGUCUUGAAACACGGACCAAGGAGUCUAACAUCUAUGCGAGUGUUCGGGUGUCAAACCCCUACGCGUAAUGAAAGUGAACGGAGGUGGGAAGCGUAAGCUGCACCAUCGACCGAUCCUGAUGUCCUCGGAUGGAUUUGAGUAAGAGCAUAGCUGUUGGGACCCGAAAGAUGGUGAACUAUGCCUGAAAUAGGGUGAAAGCCAGAGGAAAACUCUGGUGGAAGGCUCGCAGCGGUUCUGACGUGCAAAUCGAAUCGUCAAAUUUGGGGUAUAGGGGCGAAAGACUAAUCGAACCAUCUAGUAGCUGGCUCCUGCGA
rnacentral:rRNA from 1 species